UAGGGAAUCUUCCGCAAUGGACGCAAGUCUGACGGAGCAACGCCACGUGAGUGAAGAAGGAUUUCGGUUCGUAAAACUCUGUUGUUAGAGAAGAACAGCGCAUAGAGUAACUGUUAUGCGUGUGACGGUAUCUAACCAGAAAGCCACGGCUAACUACGUGCCAGCAGCCGCGGUAAUACGUAGGUGGCAAGCGUUGUCCGGAUUUAUUGGGCGUAAAGCGAGCGCAGGCGGUCAAUUAAGUCUGAUGUGAAAGCCCCCGGCUCAACCGGGGAGGGUGAUUGGAAACUGGUUGACUUGAGUGCAGAAGAGGAGAGUGGAAUUCCAUGUGUAGCGGUGAAAUGCGUAGAUAUAUGGAGAAACACCAGUGGCGAAGGCGACUCUCUGGUCUGUAACUGACGCGGAGGUUCGAAAGCGUGGGUAGCAAACAGG
rnacentral:rRNA from 1 species